rnacentral:misc_RNA from 1 species
AAUUUACUCACAAAAGUUCAACUGCAUUAACAAGUUUACAAAUCAAGAUUCUUAGUCUACAUCACAUAUGUCCUGAUCCUCAGUACAGCGAUCAAGAUUAACUAAUACAAAUAGCAUUGUAAUACAAAUGACAGAUGGGGAUUAAGUCUUUACUACAUAAAGAACAGUGUCUUAGAAACGAGACCGGAUUAAUUAGGCGAAAGCAAAAGAACGCCAAGCUCUUGUGAAGCAGAGCCACACUUGGUUUAUCGAACAACGACAGCAGUCAGUAAUCAAGUGAUCCUAUAGAUGGAAGUCCGGACAUGAAAUCUCGACCAUCAGCACUAUUAUUACUGCUCAUCCUUUCAGGUGGACCGCGGUUUAGGGAUCCAACCUCCUCUUUCCCCAGUUUCUGCACAUCCUCGGGUGAAAGAAUUUUGAUGUACCAAACAUUAUUGACAAAUUCCUCCCACGGAUCGUCUCCAAGGAGAAGGACAUCAUUCUCCCUGUCAACAAAUACAA